UACGGGGGGGCAAGCGUUGUUCGGAAUUACUGGGCGUAAAGGGCUCGUAGGCGGCCAACUAAGUCAGACGUGAAAUCCCUCGGCUUAACCGGGGAACUGCGUCUGAUACUGGUUGGCUUGAAUCCGGGAGAGGAUGUGGAAUUCCGAGGUGUAGCGUGAAAUGCGUAGGAUAUCUGGAGGAACACCGGUGGCGAAGGCGGCAUCCUGGACCGGUAUUGACGCUGAGGAGCGAAAGCCAGGGAGCAACGGG
rnacentral:rRNA from 1 species